rnacentral:rRNA from 1 species
GACGAACCGAGCAAACGUUAUUCGGAAUCACUGGGCUUAAAGGGCGCGUAGGCGGGCCAUCAAGUCUGUGGUGAAAUCCUCCAGCUCAACUGGAGAACGGCCGCGGAUACUGGUGGCCUCGAGGAAGGCAGGGGCAUCUGGAACUGGUGGUGGAGCGGUGAAAUGCGUUGAUAUCAUCAGGAACUCCGGUGGCGAAGGCGAGAUGCUGGACCUUUUCUGACGCUGAGGCGCGAAAGCCAGGGGAGCGAACGGG